rnacentral:rRNA from 1 species
UACGGGGGGGGCAAGCGUUGUUCGGAAUUACUGGGCGUAAAGGGCUCGCAGGCGGCCAACUAAGUCGGAUGUGAAAUCCCCAGGCUUAACCUGGGAACUGCAUCCGAUACUGGAUGGCUUGAAUCCGGGAGAGGGAUGCAGAAUUCCAGGUGUAGCGGUGAAAUGCGUAGAUAUCUGGAGGAAUACCGGUGGCGAAGGCGGCAUCCUGGACCGGCAUUGACGCUGAUGAGCGAAAGCUAGGGGAGCAAACGGG